rnacentral:rRNA from 1 species
UACGUAGGGUGCGAGCGUUGUCCGGAAUUAUUGGGCGUAAAGAGCUCGUAGGCGGUUUGUCGCGUCGGCCGUGAAAUCUCCACGCUUAACGUGGAGCGUGCGGUCGAUACGGGCAGACUUGAGUUCGGUAGGGGAGACUGGAAUUCCUGGUGUAGCGGUGAAAUGCGUAGAGAUCCGGAGGAACCCCAGAGGCGAAGGCGGCGCUCUGGCUCGCAACUGACGCUCAGACACGACAGCAUGGGGAGCGAACGGG